rnacentral:rRNA from 1 species
GAUCAUGGCUCAGGACGAACGCUGGCGGCGUGCUUAACACAUGCAAGUCGAGCGGUAAGGCACUUCGGUGUACACGAGCGGCGAACGGGUGAGUAACACGUGAGUAAUCUGCCCUUCACUCUGGGAUAAGCACUCGAAAGGGUGUCUAAUACCGGAUACGACACAGAUCUGCAUGGAUUCUGUGUGGUAAACUUUUUUGGGUGGGGGAUGUGCUCGCGGCCUAUCAGCUUGUUGGG